ensembl:lncRNA
GUUCAAUGAAGAGCACUGACUAUAAGAAAUUACUGUCUACAGGAAGCAUGCUGCUUAAAGCAAAACUGGGAGGUGUGCAGAAAUUUGCUAGAGUAUCUGAGCCAAGCCUUGAGGAAUUUUGAUUGCCGGUCUGGAAACAGCUGCUGCAGAAGUGUCUCCUGAGCAGUCCCAGUUAUCAUUGCCACAUUCAUCAGAUUCACAGGAUACGGUCAUCCUUUCAGACAGCCCUUUAGGAAACGUCAGAAGCUGGAUGUAGAAGAUAAGCAAUUGGUGGAAUCGAUUCUCACCAGCAAACCUGGUGGAGAAUAUAUAAUAAAUGAAUACAAUCGGACCAAGUCCCUGGUGGAUGAAACCAGAAGAAAAACAUACUGGUCAACAUACUGGUAGCUGACUUGACAGAAAAAAAUGGUACAUCACCACCACGACAGGUAAAAGAAAUGUAUGCCAGAGGAAUUGUAACCUUUUUCCCUUACCUCAGUGGCCCGUACUCCAAAAAUGGCUAU